rnacentral:rRNA from 1 species
UUUUGCGCAAUGGGCUAACGCCUGACGCAGCAACGCCGCGUGGAGGAUGAAGGUCUUUGGAUUGUAAGCUCCUGUCAGCAGGGAAAAAGCGAGUCGGGUUAAUACCCUAGGGAGUUGAUUGUACCUGCAGAGGAAGCCCCGGCUAACUCUGUUCCAGCAGCCGCGGUAAUACAGAGGGGGCAAGCGUUGUCCGGAUUGACUGGGCGUAAAGCGCACGUAGGUGGUUGGUUACGUGGUGUGUGAAAGCUCAGGGCUUAACCCUGAUAGGCCAUGCCAAACGAACCGACUCGAGGCUGAGCAGAGGCGGGUGGAAUUGCCGGUGUAGUGGUGAAAUGCGUAGAGAUCGGCAGGAACACCAAGGGGGAACCCAGCCCGCUGGGCCAGACCUGACACUGAGGUGCGACAGCGUGGGGAGCGAAC